AUCAAGACGGUGAAAAAGAGGAGUACAUAUAUUUGUUAGUUUAGAGAGGAAGCGUUUGGUGGAAGCUUUCCUAACGGUAUGUGGAAGGCUGCUUUGGAGUCAAGCGUGUACUCGCGUUAAGAGUUAAGUGAGGGUGCCUGUCUAUGCACAGGUGAACUGGGAUGGUACCGCGUAGUUGAUAUACGUUCCUAGA
rnacentral:ncRNA from 1 species